CCUACGGGUGGCAGCAGUGAGGAAUAUUGGUCAAUGGGCGCAAGCCUGAACCAGCCAAGUCGCGUGAGGGAUGACGGCCCUAUGGAUUGUAAACCUCUUUUGUCGGGGAGCAAGGCCCGCCACGUGUGGCGGGCAGGAGAGUACCCGAAGAAAAAGCAUCGGCGAACUCCGUGCCAGGAGCCGCGGUAAUACGGAGGAUGCGAGCGUUAUCCGGAUUUAUUGGGUUUAAAGGGUGCGUAGGCGGAAGGUUAAGUCAGCGGUAAAAUGUCGGUGCUCAACACCGGCCUGCCGUUGAAACUGGUGUUCUUGAGUGAGCGAGAAGUAUGCGGAAUGCGUGGUGUAGCGGUGAAAUGCAUAGAUAUCACGCAGAACCCCGAUUGCGAAGGCAGCAGACCGUCGCUCAACUGACGCUGAGGCACGAAAGCGUGGGGAUCGAACAGGAUUAGAUACCCGGGUAGUC
rnacentral:rRNA from 1 species